UUUUACUGGUUGUGGAGAGAGAGAUCAUUUUUCUAGAUUCUGUACUCCCUGGUGGUUUUGGAGAUGACUCGUACAAAACGAUAUUUAGGUUAAGAGAGAGGAAAAAGUUGCCCUUGUUCAGUGGCUUUUACCAAUAAUAUUUUACGCAAGAGCCAUGUUCUGUGGCUGCUGAUUUACACAAAAGCCUUGUUCUAUGGCUGAUGAUUUACAAAAAGCCUUGUUCUAUGGCUGAAAAUUAACAAAAAGCCUUGUUCUAUGGCUGAUGAUUUACAAAAAGCCUUGUUCUAUGGCUGAAAAUUAACAAAAAGCCUUGUUCUAUGGCUGAUGAUUUACAAAAAGCCUUGUUCUAUGGCUGAAAAUUAACAAAAAGCCUUGUUCUAUGGCUAAUGAUUUACAAAAAGCCUUGUUCUAUGGCUGAUGAUUUACAAAAAGCCUUGUUCUAUGGCUGAUGAUUUACAAAAAGCCUUGUUCUAUGGCUGCUUAUUUAUAGCUUUGUUCUUUUGUUUUAUGUUUACGCAGAAGCCUUGUUCGAUGGCUGUAGGAUUAGGUCUCAUUUUAUGAAACUAGACCAUGGAGAACAAUUGUAUGACUAUAGGUUUCAGUAAGUGUGUGUCCAUAAUUAAUUUUUUUUUCCAUUUUAUGUGCAGACAUAUUGCAGGCCAGAUUGACCCAAGACCCUGGACAGAGAAGACCGGCAGAAGUUUUGAUCACUUCCCUCAACAAACUUCUGGGAACUACUGUGGCAUCCUUAUACUCAUUUAUGCCCUCUGUAUCUGCACCAAUACCCCAUUUAUCUUCACAGAGAAUGAUGUGCCAUUAAUCCGCCAGUGGUGGUGCAUCCUACUGAUGGAAAGAUUUCAGAUUGAAGGACAUGGCCAGAGGUUUGCUUUCUGGACUGACAAGGCUAGCAGGCUAUUGCAAGGGACCCUUCAGCCACUUUUUAGGGUAUCUAGGUCAAUCACUUCAGACAUUCCACCUCAUGUGCAAACCAUGGUCAACCGCACAGCCCAAGAAAAGAAGCUGGUAGACUUUGCUGUACAAGACCAUGGAGUCCGGCAACAUUUGUUGGUAUGUUUGUCACACAUUAACAAUGUUUGUUAUUUACAAUUUGCACAUUGUUUUACCAUUACAGUGUUAUAAGCAAAUAAGCAAAAG